GAUGAACGCUGGCGGCGUGCCUAAUACAUGCAAGUCGAGCGAACGGACGAGAAGCUUGCUUCUCUGAUGUUAGCGGCGGACGGGUGAGUAACACGUGGAUAACCUACCUAUAAGACUGGGAUAACUUCGGGAAACCGGAGCUAAUACCGGAUGAUAUUUUGAACCGCAUGGUUCAAAAGCGAAAGACGGUCUUGCUGUCACUUAUAGAUGGAUCCGCGCUGCAUUAGCUAGUUGGUAAGGUAACGGCUUACCAAGGCAACGAUGCAUAGCCGACCUGAGAGGGUGAUCGGCCACACUGGAACUGAGACACGGUCCAGACUCCUACGGGAGGCGGCAGUAGGGAAUCUUCCGCAAUGGGCGAAAGCCUGACGGAGCAACGCCGCGUGAGUGAUGAAGGUCUUCGGAUCGUAAAACUCUGUUAUUAGGGAAGAACAUAUGUGUAAGUAACUGUGCACAUCUUGACGGUACCUAAUCAGAAAGCCACGGCUAACUACGUG
rnacentral:rRNA from 1 species